AGUUGUGAAGUGCGUAUGGUUGGAUUUGGCCUUUUUUUUUUUUAGCGGAUUCGCUCCACCCCCGUAUGAGUCAGAGGUUUUUACGAGAGCUCCAGUAGUGACAGCUCAAAGCUGUCCACGUCAACACUAAAACACCACCAUGGACUCCGUGACUCUGGAACCUUCAUUGUACACAGUUAAAGCAGUCUUUAUCUUGGAUAAUGAUGGAAAUCGACUUCUUUCAAAGUACUAUGACACAGACCUGUAUCCCUCUAUGAAGGAGCAGAAAAAUUUCGAGAAGAACGUCUUCAACAAAACACAUAAAGCAGACAAUGAAAUAGCCUUCCUGGAGGGCAUGACUAUAGUGUACAAGAGCAGCAUAGACCUGUUCUUCUAUGUUGUGGGCAGUGCACAGGAGAAUGAGCUGAUGUUGAUGGCAGUGUUGAACUGUCUGUUUGAGUCUCUAAAUCAGAUCCUGAGGAAAAACGUGGAGAAAAGAUGUCUUCUGGAUAAUUUGGAUGGAGCUUUUCUGGUGGUGGAUGAGAUCAUUGAUGGAGGGGUGAUCCUGGAGAGCGACCCUCAGCAGGUAGUUGAGAAGGUCAACUACAGGUGUGUGUCAGAGCAAGGCUUUGGCUUUGUCCUGUUCGAUUACAUCACAAGUAACAUGGAGGGACAGGCACAGAAGAGCCAGGCUUUUUAAGAAAAGACACCCUUCCUCUCUACCUCCUUCUCACAGUAAAGAGAGAGAAGUGGAAAAAGUGGAUGGGAAGGGAGAGAGGAUAUAGGCAGACUGAUGACAACCCGCUCUCAGAACACAGUGUGGCUCAGGUGUUACAGACGGCAAAAGAACAGAUCAAGUGGUCAAUACUGAAAUAAUCCCCUUCACACUGACUGGAUUUGUAAUAUUGCAGCCAUUCGAUUUUAUAUUGUAUGAAACCCACUAGGCUAAUUAAUUAUAAUACUAGCUGUAGGUUCAGCUGUUUUUAUUAUUAAGCCAUUCAGAUUUGAAUGCUUUAUUAAACAGGUUAUACUGUGCAUAAAAAUAAGAAGAAGAGUUAUUUUCAACACAUUUUAAGUUUGAUUGCAGUUGUUCCAGAAGUUCCUUGUAUUUAAUAAUUUGGACGGUAAUAAUCGACCUGAUUUGCACUGAAUAUGUUCAGCAUGUGCACCAGAUGCUAUAAUUUAAAACAAACAAACUGAGAGUAAUCAAAACUUGUGACUUAGUUUUGUAUUUAUUAUUUUAAGAUUGUAGCACACUUCUUUCAGUUGUAGCCAAACUUAUAUCUGCUUUAUAAUAGGAGAUCGGAGACACUUCGUACAAGUGGUUUUGUUACUUUGGUUUACGUCUGUAUUUUUUGUUACACUGGGCCUAUUAGCAGGCCCAGCACUAUCCAGAUGUUUUUGAAUGUUUUGUUAAGAAACCAAAGAGAAAUGUAAAGAUAAACUUGUAUCUUACUGAAUAAAUAUAAGGACGGAAUUUUCAUGCCCUGUAUUUAUCAUUAGAUACAUUUAUUUAAGCUGUCUGUAACGAAAACUUUAAUAUGACAUAAGGUGACCUGUAACCUUAUUGCGCGUAAAAGGAAUUAAUAAUUCUAUUAUGCAUUGAGUAAUCCGUCGUUUUUAUUUUGGUAGAAAUAGUCUGAGUGAUGUUUUAUUUUAGAAACACUUAAAACGGAUCUGGUAAUUAGCUGUGGAUGUUAAUAAACAUUUUCAUAACACA